rfam:Amborella trichopoda AMTR_V1.0_contig_41597, whole genome shotgun sequence.
GAGGAUGUAGCUCAGAUGUAGAGCGCUCGCUUAGCAUGGGAGAGGUACGGGAAUCGAUGCCCCGCAUCUCCA